UACGGAGGGUGCAAGCGUUAUCCGGAGUCACUGGGUUUAAAGGGUGCGUAGGUGGGCAGGUAAGUCAGUGGUGAAAUCUCUGGGCUUAACCCGGAAACUGCCGUUGAUACUAUCUGUCUUGAAUAUAGUGGAGGUGAGCGGAAUAUGUCAUGUAGCGGUGAAAUGCUUAGAUAUGACAUAGAACAUCGAUUGCGAAGGCAGCUCGCUACACUAUGAUUGACACUGAGGCACGAAAGCGUGGGGAUCAAACAGG
rnacentral:rRNA from 1 species